rnacentral:rRNA from 1 species
UACGGGGGGGGGCAAGCGUUGUUCGGAAUUACUGGGCGUAAAGGGCUUGUAGGCGGCCAACUAAGUCCGACGUGAAAUCCCCAGCUUAACCUGGGAACUGCGUCGGAUACUGGAUGGCUUGAAUUCGGGAGAGGGAUGCAGAAUUCCAGGUGUAGCGGUGAAAUGCGUAGAUAUCUGGAGGAAUACCGGUGGCGAAGGCGGCAUCCUGGACCGACGAUUGACGCUGAGGAGCGAAAGCUAGGGGAGCAAACGGG